AACGAACGCUGGCGGCAGGCUUAACACAUGCAAGUCGAACGCCCCGCAAGGGGAGUGGCAGACGGGUGAGUAACGCGUGGGAACAUACCCUUUCCUGCGGAAUAGCUCUGGGAAACUGGUAUUAAUACCGCCUAUGCCCUACGGGGGAAAGAUUUAUCGGGGAAGGAUUGGCCCGCGUUGGAUUAGCUAGUUGGUGGGGUAAAGGCCUACCAAGGCGACGAUCCAUCGCUGGUCUGAGAGGGUGAUCAGCCACAUUGGGACUGAGACACGGCCCAAACUCCUACGGGAGGCAGCAGUGGGGAAUAUUGGACAAUGGGCGCAAGCCUGAUCCAGCCAUGCCGCGUGAGUGAUGAAGGCCUUAGGGUUGUAAAGCUCUUUCACCGAUGAAGAUAAUGACGGUAGUCGGAGAAGAAGCCCCGGCUAACUUCGUGCCAGCCGCCGCCGUAACAC
rnacentral:rRNA from 1 species